GGGAGAGUGAGGUCGGCCUCCUGAGAAGCCGGAAGAGUGCGUUUGCGCGCGCUUCCCAAUGUGUCGCGGCUUCCUGGAGGUCCUUGGUGCGCGCCAGGAGGCGGGGGCCGGGGAGGAUACCAUGGAGCAUCGAACUCUAGCUUCUUUCCCGGCACUGUGGGCCUCCAUCCCCUGUCCACGUUCGGAGCUGCGCCUGGACCUGGUUCUGGCUUCCGGACAGUCUUUCCGGUGGAGGGAACAAAACCCGGCGCACUGGACUGGCGUGCUGGCGAACCAGGUAUGGACACUGACUCAGACUGAGGAGCAGCUCUACUGUACUGUGUACCGAGGCGACAAGGGAUGGGUUGGCCGACCCACACCAGAAGAGCUAAAGACUGUGUACCAGUACUUCCAGCUGGAUGUCAGCCUGGCUCAACUUUAUCACCAUUGGAGUUCCGUGGACCCCCACUUUCAAGAGGUGGCUCAGAAAUUCCAAGGUGUGCGACUCCUACAACAGGACCCCAUCGAGUGCCUUUUCUCCUUCAUCUGUUCCUCCAACAACAACAUUGCUCGCAUAACUGGCAUGGUAGAACGACUCUGUGAGGCCUUUGGACCUCGGCUCAUCCAGCUUGAUGAUGUCACCUACCAUGGCUUCCCUAGCCUGCAGGCCCUGGCUGGGCCAGAGGUAGAGGUGCAGCUCAGGACGCUGGGCCUGGGGUACCGUGCCCGCUAUGUGAGUGCCAGUGCCCGAGCCAUCCUAGAAGAACAGGGCGGGCUGCCCUGGCUGCAGCAGCUGCGCAAGGCCCCCUACGAGGAGACCCACAAGGCCCUCUGCACGUUGCCCGGGGUGGGCACCAAGGUGGCUGACUGCAUCUGCUUGAUGGCCCUAGACAAGCCCCAGGCCGUGCCUGUAGAUGUCCACAUGUGGCAGAUCGCCCAGCGUGACUAUAGCUGGCACCCCACCACAUCUCAGGCCAAGGGUCCAAGCCCCCAGGCUAACAAGGAACUGGGAAACUUUUUCCGGAGCCUGUGGGGACCUUAUGCUGGCUGGGCACAAGCAGAACCCAGAGCUGCCACCAAGAGCAGUGUCUGUUCCACCCACUGUUGGCCAGAAGUGAAAAGAUGGGCCAGACUGGGCUAUGGCAAGUCUGCCACGGGGCUGGAACUCUAGGAAACAGGAAGCAGUGAUCAACUGACCAGAGGAAGUACCACCCUGGAUUCAGCUUCCCCAGCCAGCCAGUCCCAAGAGAUGAGAGAUGGUGUCCUGCCUAGAGGCCCUGGUGUGAGAUCCCACUCCUUGGAUUGGACCUGGUUCCCAGGAGGGGCCUGACCACCCAUCCCAGAGGAAGAAACUUCUAGGAAAGGAGACAUGGUAAGUUCUAGAGGCAGAGUUUUAAACCCCACCUGGAGGCUUGGCAAAUAAAGCCCUCACAGGUCCACAGACACACCCAGACACACCAAUCUCCACCCUACCUCUGAGCCAAAAUACCUGCCCCCAGAUUCAGUAUAUUCCAUACCCAGAUACCCCAACACCUGAUCAUACAUGUACACCCAGACAUCAGCAUACAUGUCCACACACACACUCCCCCAGACAGCCUCACAGCCAAACAUCCCUCCCACAGUUCCCUCUUACACCGCUCCAAAACACACACCUGCACACACACACACACACACACACACACUCCUCACCUAUGUACCGGACAUCCCAGAUUCACUCAUACCCUCCAUCCUGUUUCUGUAUACCCUACAAACUCCUGUGCUCCAAACCGCUCCCCAAUUCCUUACACACCUAACUUCGGACACCCUCAAUACACAAUCAUAUAGCCUCAACUCUUAGUACCCUUGAGCCAGAUACCAGCAUGCCCAACACCUGGACACACAUUUAAAACAAAAACACUGACUCCCAGACACCCCCACCCAUAAAGAUGCCCUUACACUGCAACUCCAUAUCUGGUCUGCAUGCCAGUGCUAAGAUAUUAGCACAAUCCAACAUAGCCGCCACACAUCUCUAGCUCCAAACGCCAAGUCCGUCCAUAUUCAGGCCCAGCCGAGCACAGGCGUGGGUGUGGGUGUGUGCGCGCGCGCGCGUGCUCGUGUACACACACACACACACCCUUCCCACAUUCCUCUAGUACCCUCUGGGUUCCCCACAGCCGCCUGGCACCUGCUGGGCCUCAGGUCAAGGCUGGAGAGAAAGGCCCUCUCCUGCCCUGCCCAUGCAGAGUCCAGCCCGUCCGGGCACCCACUCGCAUUCUUGGGGGAGGGUAUCCAGCGACUGAGGGGAUCUGGCCACCCCUCCCCGGCGCCCGGGAGCACCGAUGGGGCGGCCCCUGGGCUGUACCUGCGGCUGCCCCGCCGCGGGGCUGGCUGGGAGGCCCGAGGUGUCUGGCGCCGAGCUCUGGCUGCUGGUUGCCGACCGCCGCCGCGCCGCUCCUGACUCGCCAGCCCGCCCGCUCUCUAGCUGGGGUUCGGCUCGGGCUCUGCUGGCCCCCUCCGCCCGCCUGCGGCUCUGAUGUCAGUGGAGGAGGAGCCUGCGGCGGACGGACGAGGGACUGGGAGGCUCCGCGGCGCUCCCGGGCUGGGGAAGGGGCGCGGUGGUUGAGGAGGAACCCCGUAGUUCAGGUCAGGUCCUCUUCUGGACUCUUCCCUCCCCUCCUCUCUCCUGGGGCCCCCACUGCACAGAGGGGCAACUGAAGCCCUGAGAGAUGAAGGAUUCAAAAUCAGCAAGUGGUCAGAGGCCAAAUCGAAUUCGAGGCCAGGUAACAGAAUCCCAGCCUUCAUCAGAGAGGAACUGUGACUCCAGCAGCUGAUUGCAAGACUGAAGGAAGAACAUCAUGGAUCAGGAUCUUGGCAUAGGAUUUGCUUUCUUGCAUCUCUCCUUGUCUCGAUUUCUCUGCACGUUGGCUUCCCUUCUACUGCAGGGUGAUCACUCUGCCUGGCAGAAAACGUGAUGUGAGGCAGACCCAGCUUUCCAAAUGAACCCAGCAUGAGAGCUAUACCCAGUUUCAUGUAUCAGUCUCAGGGAAGGACUCUGACGAGUUGUGUUAGAGUAACAUGCCUACUGCUUGGCCCCAAAUAAACUAUUGCCAAGGAAAUGA